rnacentral:tRNA from 1 species
CGGGGUGUAGCUUAGUCUGGUAGAGCGCUACGUUCGGGACGUAGAGGCCAGAGGUUCAAAUCCUCUCACCCCGACCA